rnacentral:ncRNA from 1 species
UAGAUAGAGGUGCGGCUGUCAGGAGUAGCCCCAUGCAAGGCGCGGAAACGCCGGGGGCGAAAGGGUCUGCCGCCGAAGGGCAGCGCGUUUUCCGGUGCGCUGUACCUGGGACGCGGGACAAUAUCCCGCGGACUGUCAUCCCGCACGGGGUGGAGUGCUGUCAG